UACGGAGGAUCCAAGCGUUAUCCGGAUUUAUUGGGUUUAAAGGGUGCGUAGGCGGCUUAUUAAGUCAGGGGUGAAAGACGGUGGCUCAACCAUCGCAGUGCCUUUGAUACUGAUGAGCUUGAAUAAACUUGAGGUAGGCGGAAUGUGACAAGUAGCGGUGAAAUGCAUAGAUAUGUCACAGAACACCAAUUGCGAAGGCAGCUUACUAAAGUUUAAUUGACGCUGAGGCACGAAAAGCGUGGGGAUCAAACAGG
rnacentral:rRNA from 1 species